rnacentral:rRNA from 1 species
UACGUAGGGUGCAAGCGUUAUUCGGAAUUACUGGGCGUAAAGCGUGCGCAGGCGGUUUUGUAAGUCUGACGUGAAAUCCCCGGGCUCAACCUGGGAAAUGCGGUGGAAACUGUAAGGCUAGAAUCUGGCAGAGGGGGGUAGAAUUCCACGUGUAGCAGUGAAAUGCGUAGAGAUGUGGAGGAACACCGAUGGCGAAGGCAGCCCACUGGGUCAAGAUUGACGCUCAUGCACGAAAGCGUGGGGAGCAAACAGG